UGGGUGAUCUGCCCUGCACUUUGGGAUAAGCCUGGGAAACUGGGUCUAAUACCGAAUACACCUCAUGGACUGCAUGGUUUGUGGGGGAAAGCUUUUGCGGUGUGGGAUGGGCCCGCGGCCUAUCAGCUAGUUGGUGUGGGUAAUGGCCCACCAAGGCGACGACGGGUAGCCGGCCUGAGAGGGUGACCGGCCACACUGGGACUGAGACACGGCCCAGACUCCUACGGGAGGC
rnacentral:rRNA from 1 species